rnacentral:lncRNA from 1 species
GUCUUCUCUCCCGAGUUUUCUCUCUCUCCUCUUGCUCUCUCGCUCUAUUGCUCUAUCUGCUCUCUCUCUCCCCCCUCUCUCUAUCUCUAUCUCUACCUCCCUCUCUCUCCUUCCCUUUCGUUCCUUCCCCCCUCUUCUAUACUCUCUUGAUAUCUCUCUCUCCGUGGCGCACAAACAAAUUAUGGAUUCUUUUCGGAACGAAUCGCAAAUUAGCAAAUCUGUUAUUGAUGUUUACUGUUUAUCAGGUAAUUGUGUUUACUCUCUUUAUUUUGAUUGUGAUUUUGAUUCUACUGGUGAACAUAAAUACUUGAUUUGUAAAUUAUUACUUGAUAGGGUUAAUUUGACUAAUUUAUUUUGGUUCUACUGUGGAAGCAUUACAUGCUUUUUGAUUUUUUUGUUUUUUCAUUAAUUUCGAGUUUACCGUAGGAUCAUAUAUUUGAUAAAGUUGUGUUUCUUGAUAGUAAUUAUUCUUUUAAAGGUGUAAUAUUUAUUAUUUUAUUUUUGAACUAUUUUGAAUUUGAUUCUUUGGCUUUCAAUCAAUUUAUUCUAGUUAUUUUUAUUAAUUUAUUAUAUUUAUUUUAUGAUUUUAGUAAAGAAUCAAAAUUGUGUACACAGAUUCUACUCUAGAAGAUAAAUGCUCAAUUUGUUAAUUUAUUACUUGAUCUAGUUAAAUUUGUGUUAAUUGGUUUUGAUCCUGUUAUAGAACUAUAUCAUAUAUGAGCUAUCCUGGGUUGUAUGGUUUUUCAAUAAUUUUGAUUCUACUAUAGAAUUAUAAAUUUUCAUCAUGUUGUCAAUUUGUUCACAUGUUGUUUUGAAUGAUACUAUGGAGUAAGCCUUUCGAGACCCCUGCCAAUGAUGAAAUUUUAUCCAGUCAUCAAUCCUGCAAAUGCUAAAGCUGUUAAUGCAUUUGUUAACAAAGAGUAAGACCAAACUGUAUUCUUUCAUUUUGUUAACAAAGAGUAAGACCAAACUGUAUUCUUUCAUUAGAAGUAGUAGUUAGUAUCUUAAUGUUUGUUGUACUCAAUGUCAACUAUUUGUUGCACCACCGAUAUUCUAGAAACAUAUGAAGUUUAACUAGCUGCUACUAUUACAAUGUGAGAUAUAUUAAUCAUGUUUACACGUGUGUUCCUUUGUUAAUGCAUGUUUUGAUGCAGCCUGAAGUGUUUAAGGAUGUCUGGUAUCUAAAUUAUUAUCGACGUUAUGUAUUCUAGUUUGAUUUGUGAAGCCAAAUCAUUGGAUCCUAAUAAGGUAAAGCAAAGAUAUUGAUUUGCUUAAGAGGUGAAAAUGCUAGAACUGCAUAAACCAUAAAUGCUUAUCAUGUUGGUGUUGUUGGGAUGAUUCUCUAUUUCGGCUGAUCCCCCCCUCCCCCCAAAUUAUCAUUGUUUCCCAUCUUACUUACAAAGAUGGUCAAAUUCUCUAUGCCUAACUCAAUUCCAGUAGAUAUAUCACUCUCUCCUAGGUUAAUUCUAAAUUUUGUUAUUCACAUAAAGAUAUGCCAUUGUUUUAAUAAAUAUUUAAUUGGAUACAUUGCGCUUCCAUAUUCACAACUUGGCCAAGUUCGUCCUCUUUCCAUGAUUGUUUUUUACUCCACGGGUCUAAACACUGUUAUACCAAAUAUUCUUAAGGUUAUAACAAAUAUAUUUAAAAUGAGCAGGACACUAUGUCUUUUUUCUUAUGGAUGGUGCUUGCUUUCUUUUGUAUGAUUGUAAUUUAAUUAAAUAACCAUUAGUUCAUUUUACUGUGUUUUUCAGCCUAAUAUUAUUGCACUAGGAAUGAGUAUUCUAGCAGCAUUGUCUGAGUAUUCCUAGAUGGAAGGGAAAAUGAUAAUCGUCUAACUCCGUUUAGAAUACUAUCUGAUACCUCCAUGUCUUGCCAUCCUGUUUCUGGAAUUCUUGGCCUACUGAAGAAAUUCCAUCCUAGCUAGAGUGUUGUUGCCAUAAAUUCUGCAAUCAUCACUACUGGUAAAAAGCCUACAUAAUCUUAUUUAUAAAAUUAUAAGAUCUUUAAUCAGUUCUUACAUUAUAUGUUUAUCAAGCUUUUUGAUCUUUAAUCCCACCAUUUUUUGCCUUCUAAAUCUCCGAUCUACUUAAUUUACAAAAAUUAUGAUUUUAUGAUUCUACAUCCAUGAACUUGCUCAUUGAUUGAUUUUGAUCGUGCUUCUGAUUCUAUAAUGGAACAUAGACACUCAAUUUGUUAUUUAUUAAUGUGUUCGAUAAAUUAUGUUUGAUAAGUUUUUGUUUAAUUUUAGAAUUAUAUAAGUUUUCUUGAUUGUUUAUGAAUUGUCCAUGAUUUUACUAUGAAAAAUAUAUACUCAAUUUAUUGUUCAAUUAGUUGGUUUAGUAAAUUAUAACUAAAAAGCUUUUUGUUCAGUUGUAGAAUUAUAAGAGUUUUACUCGUUGCUCAUGAAAUGUAUAUUAUUCUAUUGUGGAUCAUCAACACUCAAUUUUAUAUUUCAUUAAUUAAUUUAGUAAAUUAUGGUUAAUUUGUUCAACUUUAGAAUUAUAAUAUAUAUGAGUUCUCAUGGUUGUUCUCUUUUUCAUUGAUUUCGAUUCUAUUCUAGAAUUCAAAAAUAUAUAUAUUCAAAAAAAAUUUGAAAAGUAGUAUUGUUUGAUAGUAAUUGGUAUUCUAAAGCAUUAAUUUCUCAAAUUUGGAUGUAUGUUAGAUUUUUUUUUUUCCUUUGAACUAUUUAUCAUUUUGUUUUACGAUUUCAAUCUACAUAUUUUGGUUGUUUUUUUUAUUAUGUAUGUUAUCUUUAAUUUACAAUUUUAUUAUUGAGUCAAAAAUAUUUAUUGUAUAUUCGAUGGCAAGUCAUAGUUCUUUUAUGAGUGUUCUUGCUAUGAUUGAUAUUUGAUUUAAUAUGAUAAACAGAUUAGUGGUCAAGACGAAAGUUGCUUUUAGGUAAUUGUGUAAAAUUAAUUGUCAUGGAUUAUUGGCUACUUAAAAUCUAAAAUGACGUAAGUCUUUGAUGUUUUUUUGGCUAUUAGGUGUGCUUAUAAUGAGCAAGGUGUAUUUUUGAAUUCUCUGAUGAAGACAGAUGGGAUCAUAAGCUUAACAGGGACAAGGUUAAAUUGUCUUCUCAAGCUAGAAGAUCAUAAACAAUGGAGUCAUCCUUAAUUCUAUCAAAAUUUAUCAAUUCAAUAUUUAAACCUGAAUGUUGUGACCCGAGCAUUGGUUGGAGGACGUGAUAGAGAUGAUAAUUUUAGAGAUGAAUCCUGCACAUAUAAUACAUCACUGCUUGUUGGUAUAUUUGUGAUUUUGAGGAGCUAAAUCAGUUGUCUAAUUUAUGGUCAAUUGCUUCCUACCCGGUAGACAUAAUACAUCUCAAGGUACAUAUAUAUAGAAACAUUACUGUGCGGCAGGUUUCAAAUUUGAUUUUAUGUGCUUAUGAACAGUUGUUAGAGCUGUAAAUUGAACAACAUCCCUAACACAUGAUUUGAUAUAGUAUCACACUUUUG